rnacentral:rRNA from 1 species
UACGUAGGGUGCGAGCGUUAAUCGGAAUUACUGGGCGUAAAGCGUGCGCAGGCGGUUCGUUGUGUCUGUGGUGAAAGCCCCGGGCUUAACCUGGGAAUGGCCAUGGAAACUGGCGAGCUGGAGUGUGGCAGAGGGGGGUAGAAUUCCUGGUGUAGCAGUGAAAUGCGUAGAUAUCAGGAGGAAUACCGAUGGCGAAGGCAGCCCCCUGGGUCGAUACUGACGCUCAUGCACGAAAGCGUGGGGAGCAAACAGG